UACGUAGGUGGCAAGCGUUGUCCGGAUUUACUGGGCGUAAAGAGCGCGCAGGCGGUCGUCCAAGUCGCGUGUGAAAGCCCCCGGCUCAACUGGGGAGGGUCACGCGAUACUGGUCGACUCGAAGGCAGGAGAGGGUAGUGGAAUUCCCGGUGUAGUGGUGAAAUGCGUAGAUAUCGGGAGGAACACCAGUGGCGAAGGCGGCUUUCUGGCCUGUUCUUGACGCUGAGGCGCGAAAGCUAGGGUAGCAAACGGG
rnacentral:rRNA from 1 species